AACGAACGCUGGCGGCAGGCUUAACACAUGCAAGUCGAGCGCCCCGCAAGGGGAGCGGCAGACGGGUGAGUAACGCGUGGGAAUCUACCCAGUUCUACGGAAUAACACAGGGAAACUUGUGCUAAUACCGUAUACGCCCUACGGGGAAAGAUUUAUCGGAAUUGGAUGAGCCCGCGUUGGAUUAGCUAGUUGGUGGGGUAAUGGCCUACCAAGGCGACGAUCCAUAGCUGGUCUGAGAGGAUGAUCAGCCACACUGGGACUGAGACACGGCCCAGACUCCUACGGGAGGCAGCAGUGGGGAAUAUUGGACAAUGGGCGAAAGCCUGAUCCAGCCAUGCCGCGUGAGUGAUGAAGGCCCUAGGGUUGUAAAGCUCUUUCAGUGGGGAAGAUAAUGACGGUACCCACAGAAGAAGCCCCGGCUAACUUCGUGCCAGCAGCCGCGGUAAU
rnacentral:rRNA from 1 species